UCGGGUUUGCGGAAGAGCUGGCGUGCGCGUAACUUCAGGGUGGAAGACUGCGCGUGAGCAAAACUGAUGGGGGGGAUGCGGGUGCGCGUGCCUCUUCGCUCGCCCCCACCGUGACAGAGCUCCGGCAUUAUGGCGGCGCCCGCGCCCGCGCCCCCGCCGUGGCGUGCCACUCACCUCCUCUUUGACAUGGAUUGCUUCUGGAUACUGAGCGGCUGUAUUCAGUGGUGUGUCAAGAAAUCUGCGGUCGCUAUGGGAAGCAGUAUGGCUGGGACGUGAAGUCACUGGUGAUGGGGAAGACAGUGUUAGAAGCUUCCCAGGUCAUCAUGGACGACCUGCAGCUCCCCAUGUGCAAGGAGGAGCUGGUGGAGGAGUGCCAUGGGAAGUUACAGGCACUGUUCCCCACCGCUGAGCUCAUGCCAGGUGUGGAGAGGCUCAUCCACCACUUGCGGAAGCACGAAGUCCCCUUCGCCGUGGCCACCAGCUCGGGGCGUGCGCCCUUCGAGAUGAAGAC
rnacentral:lncRNA from 1 species